UGCUUGCAGGAUAAUUUUUGAACAAAUCAGAAAGCGGCAAAGGCUUCCGCGAAUAAAAGUAGAUAGGACUUCAAAAUUACCUUUGUUAGCUAGAAUCAGCAGCAAGAAUUAUAUCUGUCAAACUUGGCUACAAAAUUUAGAUAUGAGAUGUAUUAAUUUCUGACAUCAUUUGUUAAUUGUAUUCUCAGGUUCAUUGCUGAAAAUUCCUAUACUGAAGGGAAGGAGGACACACGGUGCCGUGGGUGAAGUAGUUGAGAUGACUGGGUCACACUUGAUCACGAAGAGCAGCAAAUGGCACCAUGAACAGAGGACCGUCAGGAAUGAUGAUCACCUCGUCGUUGGUCAGAUGGUUGAUUACUGGAGAAAGAAGUCUAUGGGAGAGCUUGCCGAGAGGCUCGAUAUCGUCUCCAUCAUCCGCUAACCAUCUGUCAACCUGUCGAAAAACUGUGAGGGCAAUUUCUCUGAGCUUCGAAGACUUUGUAGCGCCUGCAGACUCGUCUACUUCGAUGUUGUCCAUCAUUUUAUCAUAAAAGAAUGUUGAUGGAUUUUGGGAUGAUAUGACCCAACAAUGGAACUGGCAUCUACAUCGACGAAUUCAGAACCUACAGAAAAUGGAACUCCAAACGAGCUUAACAGGAGACGUUGUAGACAGUGGACAAGAAAGACGACCAUCAUCGAAUUCUGUUGAAGACGAAGAAGCAAGAAGUUCAGUUUCAGAGCUCAAACCGCAAACGUCACCGUUCCGUAUAAAUUCACCAUAAGUCAUACACAAAAAGCUCAGCGUUAAACAUUCUCCUAAGGAAUCCUUUGCACUAAGGCCAACCAAGCAAAGUUAUCUAGAUAAACUAUGAGGUGGCAAGCAUGAAGCUCCCAAAUGGGACAACAGAUACUUUGAGCUUGCAGAAGGAGGUCACCUCUACUACUAAAAGAAAGCAAAAGGAAAAAUUAUGAACACUAUCUAUUUAAGAGGACGGUCCUGUGAUCUUUGAUGAACAGUUCUGCCAUUACCGUAAUUCGUAUUAAAACAGACGAUCGUGAAUGGUGUCUAAGGGCGCAACUAUCGAUGAAGGAAAGACUGGAAAGAAAGUCUUGACUUCUACGACAAGAAAACGUCUGUAUCUAUGUAGAUGAACUAGCUAGAAAUUAGUCUCAUUAUGAAUAUUAUACUUGAAUGGAUGCAUCAGAGUGACAGAAACGCUUAGAAUAACAACUAAGGGUUAUAAUAUUAAUUGCUUAGCUGCUAACUGUGCAAUUACGCUAUCUCAUGUACAAUAUGAAUGUAAGCUGAAAUGACAAUUCACGGAUUUUUACGAUUACGUUUGUGUUUGCGUCUUUGUCAUUAGUGCACUCAUCAAUAAUAUGGACCAACCAAUUGGUGUAACCUGUUACGCGCAUUAACUUUAAAAUUAGCUGAACAAAUGCAUUUUGUAUUACAUAUUCAAUACAUUUUCAUUUUUCCAAAGACUUGAACAAGUUCUUUGUGKAAAAGUGAGAAUUUGUUGGAAUUGGUAAUAUACAAGAACUUUACUAAACGAAGGUGAAUGUUGCUAGCAAUAACUUAAAUURCUCAACAUGUUUUUAUUGCUGCAAAAAGCUACUCAACUUGGUGUAAAUGGAAGAGUUUUCCUAAUACGGGUGCAGACCAACAUUCACCCUCAAACUGAAUCACGUGAUGUAAGUGGUAUGCAACAAGCUGCAGUUAUUUGUUUCCAGAUUAUCUGAGCUUAAAAUGUGAAUAUAUAUUGGAAUAGUCUCCUUCACGGUUCCCUUCGCCAUCUUGAAAGGUAGUCGACCCUUUGCAUCAAAGCGAGACAACCGUUGUCUAUGGGUGUGAAAGAAGGUUUCUAUCAUUGCACGCUCAACGGUUGUCUCGGUUCGAUGCAAAGGCACGGCUACCUUUCAAGAUGGCGCAGGGAACCGUGAAGAAGACUAUUGUGGUAUUCAUUUUGUAUAGGUCAAUUGUAUAGUUGUAAUUUUGUAUAUUGUUUAGUUAAUUGUUAAUAAAGAA